GCUCCUACGGGAGGCAGCAGUGGGGAAUAUUGGACAAUGGGCGAAAGCCUGAUCCAGCCAUGCCGCGUGUGUGAAGAAGGUCUUCGGAUUGUAAAGCACUUUAAGUUGGGAGGAAGGGCAGUAAGUUAAUACCUUGCUGUUUUGACGUUACCAACAG
rnacentral:rRNA from 1 species